ensembl:lncRNA
GUUUUUGUGCGCAGAUAAGUCGCAUAACGAGACGAGACGGGACGAGACCGCAGAAGACAUAAAGCCCCGCGAAAUUGGGAGUUGGACACCCAGGAGGAAGAGGACGAGCCAACUUGAACCCGACGACCUCUCGGCAAGUGAGGACGCAAGUAGAAGUUGAGCCACAAGAUCCCAGAUACUGUGAUGCAGGACACUCCGCUGUAGCGAGCGCAGAUCCAUUUGGUCUCUCCUCUUCUCCAACCUUUGCUCUGCUCUGCUGCCGAGAGGGCUCCCUCCACAUGGAGAAGCUCCUUUUUUUGGAGAGAGGAGAUGUGGACGGACCGUGUGCUGCUGCAGAGGGACCCGGCGCGAUGAUCAACGGCGAAUUUCGGUGCUUUACCCAGGAUAGCUGAUCACCCCACCAUAUGUCUGCCAGUUGUCUCCAAAAUCUCAGUGGUAAGUCCUCGAGUGUGUGUUUGUGUGCGUGUGUGUGUAGGACGUUUUCAGCGGUUUUAUAUCGGCAAAGCGAUGACACACAAAGACGAUAUUGAAACGGCAAAGCACAAAUUCGGUUGUCCCGAUCACAGAGUUUGGAAUCAGGGUGUCCGAUCCUUCAGGCUUAACUAAAUAUAGUGAGACUAGAGGGGUAACGCAGCAUCUCAGACAAAUCCAAGCUAUUCUCCCCUCUAAGGGUAUUCCUACCUGCAGUUUUGCAAUCCAGGUUGUGUGUGUGUGUGUGUGUGUGUGUGUGUGUGUGUGUGUGUGUGUGUGUGUGUGUGUGUGUGUGUGUGUGUGUGUGUGUGUGUGUGUGUGUGUGUGUGUGAGAAAGAGAGACGGUUUUGGAGGGAGCAGAGAUCAGGGCUGCAACUUUGGGCCGAGGGAAAGACAAGGCCUGCCACAGAAGGCCGAGCCCCGCAGUAUCGUUCUCUCUCUCCCACUCUCUCUCACCCUUUCUCUCUCCUAGUCAGCUAUCAGAAAAAUAUUAACAGUAAUUAUUGUAUUGAGCUUUCUUGUGAAAAAAAACUCAUCUUUGUGAAUAUGGC